GUCUCUCAUCACUUUCCUAAAUACACACACAAAACCGGUUCCUCUCUUAACCCUCUGAAAGCCAAAAGAGAAAAAAAAAAUGCAGCCCCACCAGAACCCUCCCGCACUGGAUUCCGACCCGCAGCUCCCGCAGAUCAAAAUCCACCACCCUGCCUCCCCACGCCACCAUCACCCUUCCUCCGCCGGCGCCGCGAUCCCCACCCCCACCGCCGGCGCGCGCCGCAAAAUCGGCGUGGCCGUCGACCUCUCCGACGAGAGCGCCUACGCGGUCCGCUGGGCCGUGCAGCACUACAUCCGCCCCGGCGACGCCGUGAUCCUGCUCCACGUCAGCGCUACCAACGUCCUCUUCGGCGCCGACUGGGGCUCCAUCGACCUCUCCAUCAACACCGACCCCAACUCCGACGAGGAUGCCGUCAGCGCCGUCAACAACAGCAACGACCACAACAGCAAGCGCAAGCUGGAGGACGACUUCGACGCCUUUACGGCGUCCAAGGCGGCGGAUCUCGCGAAACCGUUACGGGAAUUGCAGAUUCCGUUCAAGAUCCAUAUCGUGAAGGAUCAUGACAUGAAGGAGAGGCUUUGCUUGGAGGUGGAGAGGCUUGGGCUGAGUGCUGUUAUUAUGGGGAGUAGAGGCUUUGGCGCUGUGAGGCGUGGCAGCGAUGGGAAGCUUGGGAGUGUUAGUGAUUACUGCGUUCAUCACUGUGUUUGUCCUGUUGUGGUGGUGCGUUAUCCCGAUGAUAAGGAUGCGGUCGCGGCGGCCACCACGGCCGAGCCCGUGGUGGCGGUCAAGGACGGAGACGAGGGCGAGGCCGUCGUCCAGCCGGUGCCGCAUAAGAAAGGUCACAAUUGCAGUCGUGGACACCCCAAAGAAACGAAAUACAAAACUUUGACCUUGCGGUCAAAGUGACAAACUUUCAUUUAGAACCAUGCUAGAAUCAUCGUGGUUGCAGACUGUUUAAAGCCUUGCUUGUACAUAUUGGAAUAUAGCAAGGUUUCAAAGAGAGGAUUAGUUGGAGCCAACUCAUCACUUCAACCCUAUCUCUGAAGAGUGUUUCUGAUCCGAAGAGAUAGGUGGAAAUAUGGUUGUAGAGUGCUCUCUUUCUCUUCCUGUCAGGUUGUACUUAGAGCAUUUCCUGCAUAUGAACUGUGGAAAGAUUAUGGAUGAUUUUGUAUGGCUUGAUAUGAUCUCGGUUCCAUUAGGCUUUGGAAGAUUGUUUUUAGUUCCGAAGUGGUCUAUACUCUUUCAUUUAGAUGUACAAGUUUGCCUGUGACUGUUUUUGGGGUUAUUUUCUUCCCAUAUGAUGUGGGAAAUCGGAUUAUCAUGACGAGCACUUGUUUAAUGUUCACAAUGACGAUAUUUCAGUGAACGGUGGUAGUCACAAGUCAAUCGUUGAAACAGUUAACGAAUUGGAUUUUUAAUUUUUCUGGAUA